AUUGAACGCUGGCGGCAGGCCUAACACAUGCAAGUCGAGCGGAUGAGGGGAGCUUGCUUCCCGAUUCAGCGGCGGACGGGUGAGUAAUGCCUAGGAAUCUGCCUGGUAGUGGGGGACAACGUUUCGAAAGGAACGCUAAUACCGCAUACGUCCUACGGGAGAAAGUGGGGGAUCUUCGGACCUCACGCUAUCAGAUGAGCCUAGGUCGGAUUAGCUAGUUGGUGAGGUAAUGGCUCACCAAGGCGACGAUCCGUAACUGGUCUGAGAGGAUGAUGAGGCACCCUGGAAAUGGGACACGGUCCAGACUCCUACGGGAGGCAGCAGUGGGGAAUAUUGGACAAUGGGCGCAAGCCUGACCCAGCCAUGCCGCGUGUGUGAAGAAGGUCUUCGGAUUGUAAAGCACUUUAAGUUGGGAGGAAGGUCAGUAGCUUAAUACGUUGCUGAUUUGACGUUACCGACAGAAUAAGCACCGGCUAACUCUGUGCCAGCCGCCGCCGUAA
rnacentral:rRNA from 1 species